GACGAACGCUGGCGGCGUGCUUAACACAUGCAAGUCGAACGAUGAAGCCGGAGCUUGCUCUGGUGAAUUAGUGGCGAACGGGUGAGUAACACGUGAGUAACCUGCCCUUGACUCUGGAAUAACUGCGGGAAACUGUAGCUAAUACCGGAUACGACCCUCGGAGGCAUCUCCUGGGGGUGGAAAGAAUUUCGGUCAAGGAUGGACUCGCGGCCUAUCAGCUAGUUGGUGAGGUAAAGGCUCACCAAGGCGACGACGGGUAGCCGGCCUGAGAGGGUGACCGGCCACACUGGGACUGAGACACGGCCCAGACUCCUACGGGAGGCAGCAGUGGGAAAUAUUGCACGAUGGGCGCAAGCCUGAUGCAGCAACGCCGCGUGAGGGAUGACGGCCUUCGGGUUGUAAACCUCUUUUAGCAGGGAAGAAGCGAAAGUGACGGUACCUGCAGAAAAAGCACCGGCUAACUACGUGCCAGCCGCCGCCGUAA
rnacentral:rRNA from 1 species